CUGCUAGGGAGCACAGACCCAUACAAAAGCAGUGACAUACACAACCACUGGAGGCUGCCAAUGGUCCUACAUGAAGUCUAUCAACUGCUAUUAUUUUUAAUGUCUCCCAUCAUUUCUUUCCCUCCACAGGCCACUUUGUUAUUUUGCUUUCUUUAGUUUUGGAAGUUACCUUCUGUAGUAAUACAUGCAAUCUCAAGUGAGGUCUGUGUCUCCUGCUUGAAGCUCAUGAAGAUCUGAGGAAAUGGGCAGCCUUAACCCACAGAGACCCCAACUGACUUUCUCACAGACAGUUGACUGGGUCAUGAGGUGGGAGAUGCUCAGCAGCCUGGCCAAUGCACGAUUACUGUUCAGGAGCAGACGCAGGAAACAGCAUCCUCAAAACUGAAAUCUACCACCUCCAAGCUUGUGUAACUGGCAGCUUCACCCCAUGGCCAGCUCCUUGAAUCCAGUCUUACUGAGCACUGAAGGUACAGAGAGCCUGAUGAGACCUAUGCUGCAGGCUGCUGCGGGGCUAUGCAGGAAGGAGGCGAUCACACAGAUAACCCCAACAGGAGACAGAAAGGACAAAGGGCUGUAGGUUCAGAGAAGGGGAGGAAUGCCAUUUGGUAGGGGAAUCAGGGAGCUCCAUGGCUGAGGUGCCAUCUGAGACGGACUCUGCCUUUUGGGUAGAUUUGGACACGUGGGAAGGUCACUCCUAGCAGAACAAUGGGAGCAAGCGGUGUGUAUGGGAAUGGCCUGUUCGGGUGAACAGAGAGGCACAGAUGGAAAGUGAGUCAGGAGCCUGAUCAUGAAUGGCCUGCAGUGCCUGGCUGAGGAGGUCAGAUCUUCAUCGGUGGACACCAGCAGCCUUUGAAGGAUUCUGCAGGGGACCACAAUGGUUAGAGCUAGGCUAUACCCGUAGCUGUCUGCAAACUGGAUUGGGAAGAGAGAGGAAGAACUCGAAAGGAGUAGCAAGGAGGUUAUUGUCAUAACCUGGGCAGAAGUUAGAGGCAAGUAAGGUGGAGGGCUGGUGGGACUGCAGAUGCGGGCUCAGACCCUGAGCUGGUAAGCCUGUGCCUGCUCCCCCAUCCCUCCACUCCCCCGAGCCCACUCUAGGCAGGUGUUUGCCCUCACAAUUCCACCAAAAUCUCUCCCACUGGCAUCACCAGCACCGUCUUCACUGCCAGUUCCAGUGGUCACUUCUCAGUCCUCAUCUCGUGGACCUGCCAGCAGUACAGAACUUCCUUGACUUACAAUGGGGUUACAUCCUCGAUGAAAAUGCAUUUAACAUGCUUAACCUUCCGAACAUUGCAGCUUAGCCUGGCCUAACUUACCAUGCUCAGAACACUUAAUAUCAGCAGACAGUUGGGCAAAAUCAUUAAACACAAAGCCUAUUUUAUAAUGAAGUGUCAACUAUCCCAUGUAAUUUAUUGAAUACUGUACUGAAAGUGUACAGAAUGGUUGUCUGGGUGCAGAAUGGUGGCCAGUGUAGGGGGUGUUGACCCUCAUGAUCUUAUGGCUGCCUGGGAGCUGCGGCUCGCUGCCCUGCCCAGCAUCAGGGAGAGGAUUGUCCCGUAUGUUGCUAGCCUGGGAAAAGAUACAAAUUCAAAAUUUGAAGUACAGUGUCUGCUUGAAUUCAUAUUGCAUUUGCAACACAUUAACACACUACCAUUAAGUUAGAGACUGUGUUUGAUACAUGCAGUCUCCCUGCCUUCAUAAAUAGGCUCUUUAUUCCCAGCCUCGGUGCUCCAUAGGCGCCUGGUUUUCCUCCACACCUCUGGCCAUUCCUCUUUUCCUGUCUCACCUUCCAAUCCCUGGACCCUCUUUUUCAGUCUCAUAGCUUUAAAUGCCAUCAACACGCUGGUGCAGUUACACUGGUAACUCCAUCCCGGCCCCUCCCUGCACUUCAACUUUCUUUGUGACCCCUUCUCUUGGAUGUUUGCAGAUGACUGCAGAUGACUCAGUGUUAUUACAUUCCAAAAGGGCCUUGACCUUGACCUUAUUUCUCAAUCCUGCUUAUGGCCUAUUUGCUGUUCCUCUGGCCCCAAAUGCUCUUCCCCACACAGUCACACGGCUCACUCACCAUCUGGAGAUCUUUGCCCUGACCUGCCUGUUCUAGAUUCACACUCCCACACUUCCUGAACCUUCUUCUGCUUGCUUUCCUUGGCCUCAUCAACAUUUAAUGGCACAUUCAUGUGUGGAGGAGGAGAUGGAGGGAGGAAGGGAGGGAGAAAGAAGCAAAAACAAGUUACUGGAGAACAUCUACAUUUAGGGGAGGAAGAAAAAUGAGUAGUAGUCAGAGAGGGAGUGAAUAACCAGCAGAGCGAAAUGUCAUGGAAACCAGAGACAGAGCUGAAAGAAACGGUGGAUAACACUGACCACCACACGAAGAGGGGAGGAUGAAGACUGGGAAAUGUCUGUUAGAUGUGACCACCCAGGGGUCUGCUGUCCUACCGCCAAAUGCCCCAGGUGGCCUCGAGCCCCAGGAGAGUAUGCAGUGGGAACUUGAGGCAGUGUUGGAAACAGCACGGUGAUAUGGUCAGAGCUUUGGUGGAGGCAAGCUAGCAGGAAUGUAGGACGGCUGGGAAGGCAAGAGAAAUAAAAAGGACUAGCCUUUAGGAUACUGCAGCCAUCCGGACCAAGGGAGUUCUGGAAGCGAACUUAAGGGCCAGUGGCUUCAAAUUCAACUUGUAGAGCAACUGGCCCAACAUCAGUGGGGUCCUUGGGGUUUUCAAACCUCUGAGGUGAAAUGAUCAUUGUUCCUUCCAUGUAGGCGGCAAUAGGUAUUUCCCAAUGUUAUGGUUCUCUGGCCUCCACAGCUAAUAUUUGUCUCCUAUUGACUCAGUCUUUGGCCUGUUAUUUUUUUAACUGGAGACCGGGGUUCAAAGGCCUGACUUUUGUUUAAACACUUAUCACAUUGCAGAGGGCACAUCCUCCUGAUAAUCUCAACUGAUGAACAAGCAAGGCUCUUCUAAGUAAAUAGAGACUGCCGAAAACGCGAGAGGGUGCAGCUGGGGGAGAGGGUGUGAGAGGGGCAAGAAGACCCUGCUGCAGAGGAGCUCUUAGGUCUCGUAAGAGAGCUCGAGAAGUGCAACCUGCAGGACAGAUCCGAAACUCAAACUCUGCACAAAUACUAUUAAAUAUAAGUUAAUAUCUAACAUCCUUUAUCAAACAGAAGCUCUUUCGAAUAUAUAACAUACUGGAGCUCCAUCAAAUAGCUCCUGGGAGUAGAGAAUCCAGCCCUUAGGCUCUAAGUCUUUUACAGCUCUUCAACUCUUCGAUGCCAACGAUGCUUGCAUUGCCCUGGAACGUAUCUGGAAAAUAUGAGGCGCUUGCUUUUGAGAUGAGAGUUCUGUCCUGUGGCAGCCAGAGAAGUGGCGUGGCUUCCCGUGAGGGCUGGAGCUGGGGCUGAUCCUGAGGAAAGGUGUCCCUUAACACAAUGGAUUUUGUGGCCUGAAGAAGGGCCCUGCCCUCAAAAACUUUGCUGCACUGUUUUUGCUGAUACACCUACAUGCCACAGUUUCAAUCUUUAUUCCUUUUGGCUUAAACCAAGCUUCACCUUUGGAGUUUGUUAAAAUAAAAAUACUUCUGGAAGAGGUCAUGGGUUGAAUCUUAUCAGUCAUUUACAUCAUAGUGUAAAUGAGCUUAUGGGCUCUUGCUUCUGAGGGGAGGUUUGGUGGAGGGGAUGGUGGAUGGGCAGAAUGCUCUAGUUGAACUGUGGCUUUGAGCCAGAUAAUCUGGGUUCAGAUCAUCCCUCUGCCAGUUUUUUAACCUCCUAGUGCGUUUCCUUGUAUGUAAAUUGGGCCUACUAAUAUCUAUCUUGUUAGGUUGCUUUGGACAUUUUGAAGAAGACAACGGAACCCAGGAGUGGUGGGCUCUGGCCCCUAUUAUGGAGAGACAGGAUUUGCUGCAGAUGUUUGCAGCCGGGAGGAUGCCUGACCUGAGCUUGACUUAAGCUCUUUCUGUUGUUCAGGGUAUCGAGUCUCUGCCCAGAUCUUCAGGGGCCUGUAGGUGAGAGGCGCCUAGGGUGCAGGGCCUGAGUGCACCCAGUGCCCCUUUGUGCCCUGGCCCUUCCUUCCACAGGCCCACUGCCCCACCCGAGGCCGAGGGCCAGGGCUCUCUCCCUCCCUGCUGUGUGAUUAGGGAGAGACUAGCUUCAUGUGCUUUCAGGGUUCCCUUGAAAACCCAGGUUUUGUCUGAUAUGGGAAGCUGCAGGGUCUGACCCUGUCUUCAGGCCUGGCUGGGCCAGGGGUGGCAUCCAGGCUGAGUGUGUCUGUCCCAGGAUGGGCCAUCUGUGUCCUUCCUGCCCUCCUUUCUCUCCUGGGCUCAGUGACAAGCACCCCUCUGCCACAGACAAGCCACUAAGAGGAGGCGAUGGGGUGAGGCAAGCACCCUGGGCCCACAGACAGUUGCCGCCUCCGGGUGGGCCUCCAGUUCCCAGGAAUGAGGACCUAGGGUCAUUGCCACUUGGUGUCUCUGCAGGGAAGGGCAGUUCCCGAGGGCAAUAAGGGAGGGCAAUCCGGUUCUCUAGGUUAACAGCACAGGCACCUAUGGAACGAUCAAGGGGAGCAAUGCGCCUGGACAGCGGACAGCGGUACUCCAGCCAUGAGCUGCAAGGGCGCCCCGGAAAUGGCAAGUUUGCUCAGCACCUGGCCAUGAACAGGACGCAGAACAGCCAGCUCAGGCUGCAAGCCCAUUCAAGUCCUAUAAACACUUGCCGAGAGGUCCCAAAGCUGAAGUUCUCUAGAAACUCACCGUUUGGAGGAGGUUCUCACCUCGGUGAGGAAGCACCACAAGGGUGUGCACUCUGUGACGACCAGGGGCCUCUCAGUGCAGCUCCUCAAGAGAAUUCCUCAUGGGAAUCAGAAUUCCUGGAUGCCCACUCUUCCUAAGGAUACAACACUGUUACCAGGGGCUUUACCGGAAGAGGUCACCCAUGGACUUCAGAGCAGGUUAACUGCUUGUUAACUGAGCAACUGUGUAACUGGUGAAUGAUCAUUUAUUCCUCUAUUUUUUGUUUUUCUCUAAGCAAGGCCACUCUCCAUGCCCAUACCUCCCUCGUACGUUUGUGAGGCUGGAGAGGUAGCAGGAACACACAAUGAUGCUGACACCUUUCCAGCAAGAUGCCCUCUACCUCUAACUGCAACAGAUAGGUUGCUAGAAACCAAGCACUAAAUGAUGUUCAGCUUGGCUGUUACCUCCUGGCUGUCCCCUGGGGGACAGUUAAGGCCAUCAAGAGGCAGCUUUUACUAAGGAAAAAGGAAAAAGUUUUGAGUCUUGAGUUUUAACAGGGUACUGACAUGAGAUCUGAAUUUUGAUGGCAUCGUUCUUUUGAGAACCACCUUGGGCUUUACUACUGAGUCUCAUUAACUCGCAUAAAUUGAGGGUUAGUAGGAUAAAAACUAGAGGUGAAAUAUGCCUUCCCAGGGGAUGCAUAUUGGAUUACUUAAGUGUUAUGUAAAGAAAUUAUCAAGUUUAAUAAAAAGAUGGAUGAAUAACAAUAGAUGUGCGUCCCAAUAAGCUUUAGCCAUGAGGUUUGGGCAGACUUUAAUAAGGCCUUUAAAGGUGUAGAACUUUAAAGGAGAAUAAGGAAAUGAACGUACCGUAAAUCUGCAGGCACUUAAACUCCUGAAACAAUUAAGCUGAUGCAUUCACGAAGAAGCUUUAAAUCAGACAACCCAUAAUACUUGUAGAAAAUGUUCCAGCUUCCAUAAUUCUUUAUUAAAUAUUUGACAAGUUGCAUCACUUCUUUACAAUGACUUCAUUUUGUCACAGUACUUUUUUGCUGUCAGGAAGACAAUCUACCAUUUCUCUUUAGCUCUCUCAAGAAAAAUGAAAAGCAAAAAGGACUUGUUCUUAAAACAAAACUUUUCCUGUGUGUAUCAAAUUCAACCAUAUUUUAUA